rnacentral:rRNA from 1 species
CAGUAGCCGCGGUAAUACGAAGGGUGCAAGCGUUAAUCGGAAUUACUGGGCGUAAAGCGUGCGUAGGCGGUGAGUUAAGUCUGCUGUGAAAUCCCCGGGCUCAACCUGGGAAUGGCAGUGGAUACUGGCUCGCUAGAGUGUGUCAGAGGAUGGUGGAAUUCCCGGUGUAGCGGUGAAAUGCGCAGAGAUCGGGAGGAACAUCAGUGGCGAAGGCGGCCAUCUGGGACAACACUGACGCUGAGGCACGAAAGCGUGGGGAGCAAACAGGAUUAGAUACCCCCGUAGUCCCUGUCUCUUAUAC